rnacentral:rRNA from 1 species
AACGAACGCUGGCGGCAUGCCUAACACAUGCAAGUCGAACGAGACCUUCGGGUCUAGUGGCGCACGGGUUCGUAACGCGUGGGAACCUGCCCUUAGGUUCGGAAUAACUCCCCGAAAGGGGUGCUAAUACCGGAUAAUGUCUUCGGACCAAAGAUUUAUCGCCUUUGGAUGGGCCCGCGUUGGAUUAGCUAGUUGGUAGGGUAAAAGCCUACCAAGGCGAGGAUCCAUAGCUGGUCUGAGAGGAUGAUCAGCCACACUGGGAAUGAGACACGGCCCAGAAUACGACGGGAGGCAGCAGUGGGGAAUAUUGGAAAAGGGGCGAAAGCCUGAUCAAGCAAUGCCGCGUGAGUGAUGAAGGCCUUAGGGUUGUAAAGCUCUUUUACCCGGGAUGAUAAUGACAGUACCGGGAGAAUAAGCUCCGGCUAACUCCGUG